rnacentral:rRNA from 1 species
AGCGAGUAAGGGAAUCUUCCACAAUGGACGAAAGUCUGAUGGAGCAACGCCGCGUGAGUGAAGAAGGGUUUCGGCUCGUAAAACUCUGUUGUUAAAGAAGAACAUAUCUGAGAGUAACUGUUCAGGUAUUGACGGUAUUUAACCAGAAAGCCACGGCUAACUACGUGCCAC